rnacentral:sRNA from 1 species
AGUUUAGUUGAUUUGUU